GUCCCCGUAGCUCAAUGGAUAGAGCAACCGCCUUCUAAGCGGUCGAUAGAGGUUCGAUUCCCCUCGGGGACACGA
rnacentral:tRNA from 1 species